rnacentral:rRNA from 1 species
UACGUAGGGGGCUAGCGUUGCUCGGAAUCACUGGGCGUAAAGCGCACGUAGGCGGCUUUCUAAGUCAGGGGUGAAAUCCUGGAGCUCAACUCCAGAACUGCCUUUGAUACUGGAGAGCUCGAGUCCGGAAGAGGUGAGUGGAACUGCGAGUGUAGAGGUGAAAUUCGUAGAUAUUCGCAAGAACACCAGUGGCGAAGGCGGCUUCCUGGUCCAGUACCGACGUUCAGGCACGAAAGCGUGGGGAGCAAACAGG